UCCGUUCUGCCAUUUAAAUGGAAAAGAGGGAAAAUGUGCUGCAGAUGCAGAGUCCAAACAAUGGAAAUGAUUUCUGAUGAUGAAAAGUGGUGAUCCCGCCUAGAUCGCUCAUUAAAAGCAGCCAGAACUACCGGAGUACCAUGCUGUAUAAGAAAAAGGGCAAGAAAGAAUCACUUUCCAGUUCUUCAUCUUCCCCCUUGGCAACCAUCAAUGAUCAGUCGAAGAGAGUCUGGAAAGAAUCAACGGGUAGUGCUGCAGUAUUGUAGCUGCUACAAUUUAAAAAGCUUUGGCAAACAGCUAAGGUUUAUGGCACACAUAUGAGACCAUUUAUUGAGUGUUGUAAGAAGAACUUUCUAUAUGUAAUACGAUACAGAGGUUACUAUGAUCUAGCAGCCUCUCUCACUACACAGUGCUCAGAUACAAGGACAAUUGAAGACUUUUUAAG